rnacentral:rRNA from 1 species
AACGUCCCAGUUCGGAUUGUAGUCUGNAACCCGACUACAUGAAGCUGGAAUCGCUAGUAAUCGCGGAUCAGAAUGCCGCGGUGAAUACGUUCCCGGGUCUUGUACACACCGCCCGUCACACCAUGGGAGUCGGAAAUGCCCGAAGUCGGUGACCUAACUGAAAGGAAGGAGCCGCCGAAGGCAGGUCUGGUGACUGGGGUGAAGUCGUAACAAGGUAGC